UGAAGGACUGCCUUGCCAGGA
rnacentral:misc_RNA from 1 species